rnacentral:rRNA from 1 species
AACGAACGCUGGCGGCGUGCUUAACACAUGCAAGUCGAACGGAAUAAGGGGCUUGCUCCUUAUUUAGUGGCGCACGGGUGAGUAACACGUGGAUAACCUGCCCUGGAAUCUGGGAUAACAUUUCGAAAGGGGUGCUAAUACCGGAUAAGCCCACGGAAACUUCGGUUUUUGCGGGAAAAGGAGGCCUCUGUAUAUGCUUCCGUUUCAGGAUGGGUCCGCGUCCCAUCAGCUAGUUGGUAGGGUAACGGCCUACCAAGGCGACGACGGGUAGCUGGUCUGAGAGGAUGAUCAGCCACACUGGAACUGAGACACGGUCCAGACUCCUACGGGAGGCAGCAGUGGGGAAUUUUGCGCAAUGGGGGAAACCCUGACGCAGCAACGCCGCGUGGGUGAUGAAGGCCUUUGGGUCGUAAAGCCCUGUCGGAGGGGAAGAAAUGUGUGCGGUUAAUACCCGUUACACUUGACGGUACCCUCAAAGGAAGCACCGGCUAACUCCGUGCCAGCAGCCGCGGUAA